rnacentral:rRNA from 1 species
GACGAACGCUGGCGGCGUGCUUAACACAUGCAAGUCGAACGGAAAGGCCCUGCUUGCAGGGUACUCGAGUGGCGAACGGGUGAGUAACACGUGGGUGAUCUGCCCUGCACUUCGGGAUAAGCCUGGGAAACUGGGUCUAAUACCGGAUAGGAGCCAUUUUUAGUGUGAUGGUUGGAAAGUUUUUUCGGUGUAGGAUGAGCUCGCGGCCUAUCAGCUUGUUGGUGGGGUAAUGGCCUACCAAGGCGGCGACGGGUAGCCGGCCUGAGAGGGUGGACGGCCACCAUGGGACUGAGAUACGGCCCAGACUCCUACGGGAGGGAAGAGUGGGGAAUAUUGCACAAAGGGCGCAAGCCUGAUGCAGCGACGCCGCGUGGGGGAUGACGGCCUUCGGGUUGUAAACUCCUUUCGCUAGGGACGAAGCUUUUUGUGACGGUACCUAGAGAAGAAGCACCGGCUAACUACGUG